rnacentral:rRNA from 1 species
GGGGAAUAUUGCACAAUGGGCGAAAGCCUGAUGCAGCGACGCCGCGUGAGUGAAGAAGUACCUCGGUAUGUAAAGCUCUAUCAGCAGGGACGAUAAUGACGGUACCUGACUAAGAAGCCCCGGCUAACUACGUGCCAGCAGCCGCGGUAAUACGUAGGGGGCAAGCGUUAUCCGGAUUUACUGGGUGUAAAGGGAGCGCAGGUGGCACUGCAAGUCAGAUGUGAAAGCCCGUGGCUUAACCGCGGGAUUGCAUCAGAAACUGCAGUGCUAGAGUGCAGGAGAGGUAAGCGGAAUUCCUAGUGUAGCGGUGAAAUGCGUAGAUAUUAGGAGGAACAUCAGUGGCGAAGGCGGCUUACUGGACUGUAACUGACACUGAGGCUCGAAAGCGUGGGGAGCAAAC